rnacentral:rRNA from 1 species
UACUCCUACGGGAGGCAGCAGUAGGGAAUCUUCCACAAUGGACGAAAGCCUGAUGGAGCAACGCCGCGUGUGUGAUGAAGGGUUUCGGCUCGUAAAACACUGUUGUAAGAGAAGAAUGACAUUGAGAGUAACUGUUCAAUGUGUGACGGUAUCUUACCAGAAAGGAACGGCUAAAUACGUGCCAGCAGCCGCGGUAAU